CUCAGAUCCCACAGCGAUCCUUCCGACACAAGAGUCUCCUUCGGGGCCCUCUCCGGGGCUGUAGGAUCUGUGAGAGGGGUCGGGGAUCCAGGACGGCGUUCUUUUCCGUCCCUGUCAGAUCUUACGGAGCGAGGCAGACCUUGUGUUGAAAGUAGUGCAAAGUCCUUAGGUGUCUCAUCAAUGAAUCUCGGGUGACAAAAGCCUGGAGGAAGCCAGACCAGCUCUUCUCUGUCACAGAGCACAAGGGCAAAGCAGAGGAAAGAAGCCAAACCCAUAAAGGAGGAAGAAAGCUCUGAAAAGGUAAACCAGCAUGAGAAAUGCUCACUCAAAGCUCCGAAGCAGAGGUUAAGUCUCCCUUCUCAGAACUGCAAGUGCUCUUUCACCCUGAAAACCAAGACUACAUUUUAAGGGAAGGUGUUCCAGACCUCUGACCAUCUUUGUGGCCUCCUCUGGACCUGCUGCAAUAGAUCCCUAUCUUUGCUGUCCUGAGGACCCCAGAGCUGGAUGUAGCACUGCAGCAGUGUUAAAGUCUUGCUGGUUUUUCAAUAUGGAAGACUAUUCAAAUGUCCUUAACACAACAGCACAAAGAGCACAAUCUUACAGGGAGCUGCAUGAUACAGAACCAAAGAAAAGGAGAGUGAAAAAGACCCCACAAGGUCAUAUAAUCCAAGAGUUUGCCCAAGGAAAGAGUCCAGGGAGCACUAAUAUCUGCUGAACUGCCUUGCCAAAACUUGG